AAUAUGAAGCUUUAUUAAAAGAAAAGGGUGAAAAGAACAAAGUUUUGUCCAUCUUUGUUCAUCAUAGCUGAAAGUUAGAGAAGAGAAAGGAGAGGAGAAAGCUCUUGAGUAUUCGGUCAUUAGGAGGAGGAAAAUUGAAGGAAAUCCCCAACCAUAGUGGGCUUGGAGCUGUGAGGGAAUUCGGAGUGACCACCCGUUCUGAAAGUUUGAUUUUCUUCUGGUGAACUGGACAUCCUUUUAAUUACGUUUGAGGUUUUGGGCUUUUAAAUGUAAUAAGGCCGCUUAUUUAUUUUUGAUGGUUUUUAAUAUGUAUUACUAAGAUAGGUAAUACUUAUUUUAACUGUUGAAAUUGGAUAGCUUUAGGGCGCGUUUUCAAAAACAA